CCACCUCAGCUACGCAUGAAUACCCGCUGAACUUAAGCAUAUCGCUAAGCGGAGGAAAAGAAACUAAAUAGGAUUUCCGUAGUAACUGCGAGUGAACUGGAAUUAGCCCAUCACGAAAUCUGUCGAGGCAACUCUUCCGAAAUGUCGUGUAUAGAUGUUACUUAAAAUAAUAAAAUACAAAUUAAUUACGUUUAAACCCGUAGCCACAGAAGGUGCCAGCCCUGUCGAUUUGUGUAUUGUUAUUUUUGGUAGCUUCUCAGAGUCGUGUUGCUUGAAAGUGCAGCGCAAAGUUGGUGAUAAACAUCAUCUAAGGCUAAAUAUCCCCAUGAAUCCGAUAGCGAACAAGUACUGUGAAGGAAAGUUGCAAAGCACUCCGAAGAGAGAGUUAAAGAGGACGUGAAACCGAUACGAUGGAAGCGCACAGAGCCAGUCGCAUUGACAUUAAUUUAUUGGUGUUUCUAAGUGUGAAACAUUUGAUUGCUUUUGUUGCCCGCACUCUAGGUCGCGAAAUUUAUUUUUUGUAGUUGGAGGGCACGAAGACAUAAGUAGUUAAAUUGUAGAUUGGGGAAGGUUAGUUGAUGUAUUGUGGUUUUUUGAUGAUUCACUUGUGUUUGACUCUUAAAAUUAUUUUACUGAUAUUAGUCCAACUAGUCGUUUUUACAUAGCCCUGGUAUGCUGUACGUCCCGUCUUGAAACACGGACCAAGGAGUGUAUUGCUAUGGCGAGUCAUUAAUAUUGUUAAUAUUAAAGGCGUAUUGAAAAAGAUUCUACUUGUGAUGUAGUAAUACAGCAACAAGGACGUGGGCAUGAUAUUUAUAUCCGUCCGCAGUUAGAGCCAUAGUAGUGCGACCCGAAAGAUGGUGAACUAUGCUAGCGCAGGGUGAAGUCAGAGGAAACUCUGAUGGAAGCUCGAAGCGGUCCUGACGUGCAAAUCGGUCGUAUGACGUUAGUAUAGGGGCGAAAGACUAAUCGAACCAUCUAGUAGCUGGUUCCUCCCGAAGUUUCCCCCAGGAUAGCUGGAAUCGCAUGUAGAUACAUCCGGUAAAGCCAAUGUUUAGAGGAAUAGGGGACAACAUGUUCUUUAUCUAUUUACAAACUCUAAAUGGGUGUGAUAUCGCGAUUACUUAAUUGAAUCGUGGUCUCGAUUACAUGGUUCCAAGUGGGCCAUUUUUGGUAAGCAGAACUGGCGACGUGGGAUGAACCAAAAGCAUCGUUAAAGUGCCUAAGGUUUGCUCAUCAGACCCCAUAAAGGGUGUUGUUUGAUCUAGACAGCAGGUCGGUGGCCAUGGAAGUCGGAACCCGCUAAGGAUCGUGUAACAACUCACCUGCCGAAUCAAGCAGCCCCGAAAAUGGAUGGCGCUUGAGCAAACCACUUAGACGGUGCCGUUAAACUAAUUUAAUUUAGAGUUUAACGUGUAGGGGGGCGUAGUGAUUGCGUCGAAGGUUAUGAGCGUAAGCUCGACUGGAGCAUUCAUUAGUGCAGAUCUUGGUGAUAGUAGCAAAUACACAAGUGAGACUCUUGUGGGCCGAAGUGGGAAAGGGUUUCAUGUCAACAUCAUUUGGCUAUGAGUUAGUCGGUCCUAAGCGUACCCUGAAAAGGCAUAUAUAACGCGAAAGGGAAGUAGAUUAAUAUUUCUACACCGUUUAUGGAGAAAAUGAGAUGCAAGUCUUAUUUUGCGUGGUAACACAAAUGAAAUUGGUUACAUCUUAUUAAGCCCCGGCUAGAGAUCUCUUCUCUAGUUAAGUGUUACCGUCCACGGAAUUUGCUCAGCAAGAGAUGUGGACUAAGACACGCAGAGUAGUGCUAUUUUGGCGCUAUCCGGUAUGCUUAGUAGGAUCCUUAAAACACCAAUGGAAGCAUAAUAAAUUUCAUAAACGGCCGUACCCAUAUCCGCAGCAGGUUUCCAAGAUGUCUAGUCUCUGGUCGAUGAAAUAAUGUAGGUAAGGGAAGUCGGCAAAAUAGAUUCGUAACUUUGGGAAAAGAAUUGGCUCUUGGGAUGUGGAAUGAUGGGAAUUUUAUUGAAGUGAAAAAAAUAAUAGAUGGCUGGAAAUAGCAAUAUUUUUGGAACUUUAUUAUAAUUUUCAUGGAUAAAUUAUUCUUUAACGUUAUUCAAUUAUAAACAUCAACCAAGAACUGGCACGGACUCGAGGAAUCCGACUGUCUAAUUAAAACAGAGGAGACAGAUGAUGCGAGAGCAUGUAGACUGUGUCUGAUUUCUGCCCAGUGCAAUGAAUGUUAUAAUGGUGAAAGCCAUUGAAGCUCUUGUAAACGGCGGGAGUAACUAUGACUCUCUUAAGGUAGCCAAAUGCCUCGUCGGGUAACUUCCGACGCGCACGAAUGGAUUAACGAGAUUCCUACUGUCCCUAUCUACCAUUCAGCGAAAUCACAGCCAAGGGAACGGGCUUGGCAGAAACAGCGGGGAAAGAAGACCCUGUUGAGCUUGACUCUAGCUAGGCAUUGUGAAGUGUCAUGUGAGGUGUAGUAUAGGUGGGAGUAGCUUGCUACGUACUUGAAAUACCACUACUUACAUCGAUGCUUUACUUAGUCGAUUAAAUGGAGACGUAAUUUAUUACUUUUCUUGUAUUAAAUAAAUUGUUUUGAACAAUUUAUGAUCCACGUCGACGAUCGUGUCUGGCGGGGAGUUUGACUGGGGCGGUACAUCUAUCAAACCGUAACGUAGGUGUCCUAAGGCAGGCUCAGAGAGGACAGAAACCUCUCGUAGAGCAAACAGGCAAAAGCUUGCUUGAUCAUGAUUUUCAGUACGAAUACAGACCCUGAAAGGGUGGCCUAUCGAUCCUUUUGUGUUAGUAUGUUUCUAAAAAGAGGUGCCAGAAAAGUUACCACAGGGAUAACUGGCUUGUGGCAGCCAAGAGUCCAUAUCGACGUUGCUUUUUGAUCCUUCGAUGUCGGCUCUUCCUAUCAUUGCGAAGCAGAUUUCGCCAAGCGUUGGAUUGUUCACCCACUAAUAGGGAACGUGAGCUGGGUUUAGACCGUCGCGAGACAGGUUAGUUUUAUCCUACUGUUGACUUGUUAAUGUGAUAGUAGUCCUGCUCAGUACGAGAGGAACCGCAGGUCCGGCUAAUUGGUACAUGACGUUGUUGGAAACAACAAUGCGUCGAAGCUACCAGCCGCGGAAUUAUGACUGAACGCAUCUAAGUCAGUAUUCCGUCUAGUCAUGACAUUAAUGUUUGUAUCUCUGUGCUUGUAUUGGCCAGUUUAAAAGAAUUUAUUCUUUGUUUAAGCCUCGCGUUUUGUACGUAAAUUAGAUUAAUAUGUCUAAUUUACUCCAAAUCGAAUCAUCGAUGUCAGGUCGAGGUGAAAGUGAGCUUGCAUACGACUAGCUAGCUGGACCAAGGAGUGUAAGCUGCAGAGCAGGUCUUUCCUGCGAUCAGCUGAGCUUUAUCUUGCGUCUGGUGCCACUGU
rfam:Rhabditophanes sp. KR3021 genome assembly, scaffold: RSKR_scaffold0000107